rnacentral:rRNA from 1 species
GACGAACGCUGGCGGCGUGCUUAACACAUGCAAGUCGAACGGAAAGGCCCUGCUUUUGUGGGGUGCUCGAGUGGCGAACGGGUGAGUAACACGUGAGUAACCUGCCCUUGACUUUGGGAUAACUUCAGGAAACUGGGGCUAAUACCGGAUAGGAGCUCCUGCUGCAUGGUGGGGGUUGGAAAGUUUCGGCGGUUGGGGAUGGACUCGCGGCUUAUCAGCUUGUUGGUGGGGUAGUGGCUUACCAAGGCUUUGACGGGUAGCCGGCCUGAGAGGGUGACCGGCCACAUGGGGACUGAGAUACGGCCCAGACUCCUCCGGGAGGCAGCAGUGGGGAAUAUUGCACAAUGGGCGGAAGCCUGAUGCAGCAACGCCGCGUGCGGGAUGACGGCCUUCGGGUUGUAAGCCGCUUUCGCCUGUGACGAAGCGUGAGUGACGGUAAUGGGUAAAGAAGCACCGGCUAACUACGU